GAUGAACGCUGGCGGCGUGCUUAACACAUGCAAGUCGAACGGAAAGGCCCAAGCUUGCUUGGGUACUCGAGUGGCGAACGGGUGAGUAACACGUGGGUGAUCUGCCCUGCACUUCGGGAUAAGCCUGGGAAACUGGGUCUAAUACCGGAUAGGAUCACAUUUUGGAUGGUGUGGUGGAAAGUUUUUCGGUGUGGGAUGAGCUCGCGGGCUAUCCGCUUGUUGGUGGGGUAAUGGCUUACCAAGGCGUCGACGGGUAGCCGGCCUGUGGGGGUGUACGGCGGCAUUGGGACUGAGGGGAGGCCCAGGCACCGACUGGAGGCAGCAGGGGGGAAGAUUGAACAAUGGGCGCAAGGCUGGUGCAGCGACGCCGCGUAGGGGAUGACGGUCUUCGGGUUGUAAACUCCAUUCGCUAGGGACGAAGCGUUAUGUGACGGUACCUGGAGAAGAAGCACCGGCUAACUACGUG
rnacentral:rRNA from 1 species